UUCAAUUAAUAGAGUUUAACGUUUUACUUAUUGAGGCCAUAUUAGUUGCACUACUUUGUCUUCCUACAAGAAGAGUUGUGGUCUAUAUCUUAAGGCGUAUUCCUUAUUCAAAAAUAAGAAUAUUUCUGGGCAUCUUGUUUACACUGAUUUUGUUCAUGACAAUAAAAUCGGUCUCAAACUCAUGGAAACUUUCGGAUGAGGUUCAAAGAUCAGAUGUUUCGGACCCUAUGACCCGCAAUGCACUAAAAAUUAAGUUAUUUAGAUCCCAAAGAGACUCGUACCUUAGCUUCUUUUCCUUAUAUCUCUGUUUUGUUGCUCACUUCUUGUAUGGUUUAGUGUUAGAAAAUAUUGAACUUCGAGAUAAAGUCAAAUGUCAGAAGAAUAAUUAAGAAUUCAACAGCGAAGAUGGUACUACUAGCUAAAAACCACC